UGUAGAAAAACUGGGUCAAAUGGUCAUUUCAUUCCAAGUUUUCUGAGGAAUCUCUAUACUGCUUUUUAGAGUGGUUGCACCAAUUUGCAGUCCCAACAGCAAU
rnacentral:pre_miRNA from 1 species